rnacentral:rRNA from 1 species
UGGGGAAUAUUGGACAAUGGGCGAAAGCCUGAUCCAGCAAUACCGCGUGGGUGAAGAAGGCUUGAGGGUUGUAAAGCCCUUUCAGCUGGGAGGAAAAGCGCUCGGUUAAUACCCGGGCGUAUUGACGUUACCAGCACAAGAAGCACCGGCUAACUCCGUGCCAGCAGCCGCGGUAAUACGGAGGGUGCGAGCGUUAAUCGGAAUUACUGGGCGUAAAGCGCAUGCAGGUGGUUGGAUAAGUCGGGUGUGAAAGCCCCGGGCUCAACCUGGGAAUGGCAUCCGAUACUGUUUAACUAGAGUUUGGUAGAGGGAAGUGGAAUUUCCGGUGUAGCGGUGAAAUGCGUAGAUAUCGGAAGGAACACCAGUGGCGAAGGCGACUUCCUGGACCAAAACUGACACUGAGGUGCGAAAGCGUGGGUAGCGAACAGGAUUAGAUACCCCCGUAGUCC